CCUGGGAGGUGUGAUAUCAUGGUUCCUGGGAGGUGUGAUCCUGUGCUUCCUGGGAGGUGUGAUAUCGUGGUUCCUGGG
ensembl:miRNA MIR3689A microRNA 3689a